rnacentral:lncRNA from 1 species
AAAAAAUGUCAAUUAAACAAAAAAAUAAAAAAAAAAUCAAUUGGGCUGUAAUUGACCCAAACCGUAUAAAACCAUCCGUUUUACCCGUAACCCGCUUAAACCCAACCCGCUCAAUCCGUUAAUAGAUUUUGGGUUGAUAUGGGCCAGAGAUUUCCACCCGCGGAUUGAGCCGGUUUGAGGUUUUGGGCCCAUACCGACCCAGCCCGGCCCGUUGUCCACC